AACGAACGCUGGCGGCAGGCCUAACACAUGCAAGUCGAGCGAGGACUUCGGUUCUAGCGGCGGACGGGUGAGUAACGCGUGGGAAUGUGCCCUUCUCUACGGAAUAGCCCUGGGAAACUGGGAGUAAUACCGUAUACGCCCUAUUGGGGAAAGAUUUAUCGGAGAAGGAUCAGCCCGCGUUGGAUUAGGUAGUUGGUGGGGUAAUGGCCUACCAAGCCGACGAUCCAUAGCUGGUUUGAGAGGAUGAUCAGCCACACUGGCACUGAGACACGGCCCAGACUCCUACGGGAGGCAGCAGUGGGGAAUCUUAGGCAAUGGGGGCAACCCUGAUCUAGCCAUGCCGCGUGAGUGAUGAAGGCCUUAGGGUUGUAAAGCUCUUUCAGCUGGGAAGAUAAUGACGGUACCAGCAGAAGAAGCCCCGGCUAACUCCGUG
rnacentral:rRNA from 1 species